GGUGCUGCGGUCUAGUUGGUUUGGACGUCUGCUUAUUAUCUUUCGGUUUUAUCGCAGAAGGUCUUGGGUUCGAGUCCCAACGGCACCACCA
rnacentral:tRNA from 2 species